rnacentral:rRNA from 1 species
AGGACGAACGCUGGCGGCGUGCUUAACACAUGCAAGUCGAACGAGGUUACUGAAGAGCUUGCUCUGAGGUAGACCGAGUGGCGGACGGGUGAGUAACGCGUGAGGAACCUGUCUUACACAGGGGGAUAACGCACCGAAAGGUGUGCUAAUACCGCAUAAGACCACACUUUCGCAUGGAAGAGGGGUCAAAGGAGCGAUCCGGUGUAAGGUGGACUCGCGUCCCAUUAGGCAGUUGCGGGGUAACGGCCCACCAAACCGACGAUGGGUAGCCGACCUGAGAGGGUGAUCGGCCACAUUGGAACUGAGACACGGUCCAAACUCCUACGGGAGGCAGCAGUGGGGAAUAUUGGGCAAUGGGCGCAAGCCCUGACCCAGCAACGCCGCGUGAGGGAAGAAGGUUUUCGGAUUGUAAACCUCUGUCCUCGAUGAAAAGGAGAAGAUGGUAAUUGAGGAGGAAGCCCCGGCUAACUACGUGCCAGCCGCAGC